GUCGUGGUUUCCCAGGUUCUUGUUGCUGACAUUAACAUUGGAUAUGAGGAGAUAGUUAAUACUCAGGUUCUUUCUUUUAACGGUGAGCCUGUAAAAAAUUUGAAGAGCUUGGCCAGCAUGGUAGAGAAGUGCAAGGAUGAGUUUUUGAAGUUUGAUUUGGAAUAUCAGCAGGUGGUAGUCCUCCAGACAAAGACAGCAAAAUCUGCAACAUCAGACAUCCUUACUACACAUUGUAUUCCUUCUGCCAUGUCGGAAGAUCUCAGGACGUAAAUCAUUUCAGCAAAGGUCAAAAAAUCAAAAUUCUUGUUGCCAGCAUGACAAUAGUCAUCCUUUUUU
rnacentral:misc_RNA from 1 species